rnacentral:rRNA from 1 species
CAGUCGCCGCGGUAAUACGUAGGUGGCAAGCGUUGUCCGGAAUUAUUGGGCGUAAAGGGCUCGCAGGCGGUUUCUUAAGUCUGAUGUGAAGGCCCCCGGCUCAACCGGGGAGGGUCAUUGGAAACUGGGAAACUUGAGUGCAGAAGAGGAGAGUGGAAUUCCACGUGUAGCGGUGAAAUGCGUAGAGAUGUGGAGGAACACCAGUGGCGAAGGCGACUCUCUGGUCUGUAACUGACGCUGAGGAGCGAAAGCGUGGGGAGCGAACAGGAUUAGAUACCCGCGUAGUCCCUGUCUCUUAUAA